rnacentral:rRNA from 1 species
ACUCCUACGGGAGGCAGCAGUGGGGAAUAUUGCACAAUGGGCGCAAGCCUGAUGCAGCCAUGCCGCGUGUAUGAAGAAGGCCUUCGGGUUGUAAAGUACUUUCAGCAGUGAGGAAGGUGGGUAUGUUAAUAGCAUAUUCAUUUGACGUUAGCUGCAGAAGAAGCACCGGCUAACUCCGUGCCAGCAGCCGCGGUAAUACGGAGGGUGCGAGCGUUAAUCGGAAUUACUGGGCGUAAAGCGCAUGCAGGUGGUUUGUUAAGUCAGAUGUGAAAGCCCGGGGCUCAACCUCGGAAUUGCAUUUGAAACUGGCAAACUAGAGUACUGUAGAGGGGGGUAGAAUUUCAGGUGUAGCGGUGAAAUGCGUAGAGAUCUGAAGGAAUACCGGUGGCGAAGGCGGCCCCCUGGACAGAUACUGACACUCAGAUGCGAAAGGCGUGGGGAGCAAACAGGAUUAGAUACCCUGGGAGGCGUAG